rnacentral:rRNA from 1 species
UAUUCUUCUGAGUAAAUGAUUAAAUCAAUCAAAACUUUCAACAACGGAUCUCUUGGCUCUGGCAUCGAUGAAGAACGCACCGAAAUGCGAUAAGUAAUGUGAAUUGCUAAUUCAGUGAAUCAUCGAAUCUUUGAACGCACAUUGCGCCCGCCAGUAUUCUGGCGGGCAUGCCUGUCCGAGCGUCAUUUCAACCCUCAAGCCCCCGGGCUUGGUGUUGGAGAUCGGCGAGCCCUCCGGGGCGAGCCGCCUCCCAAAUUUAGUGGCGGUCUCGCUGUAGCUUCCUCUGCGUAGUAGCACACCUCGCACUGGAAAACAGCGUGGCCACGCCGUAAAACCCCCCACUUCUGAAAGGUUGACCUCGGAUCAGGUAGGAAUACCCGCUGAACUUAAGCAUAU